CACGUAGGGUGCGAGCGUUGUCCGGAAUUAUUGGGCGUAAAGAGCUCGUAGGCGGUGUGUCGCGUCGGCCGUGAAAACCUGCAGCUUAACUGUGGGCUUGCGGUCGAUACGGGCAUCACUGGAGUUCGGCAGGGGAGACUGGAAUUCCUGGUGUAGCGGUGAAAUGCGCAGAUAUCAGGAGGAACACCGAUGGCGAAGGCA
rnacentral:rRNA from 1 species